rnacentral:lncRNA from 1 species
AGAGAAAGCUUCUCUGAUGUAUCGCCAUCUUUCUUUUCCAAGAGUUGCAGGCGAUGAUCACAGCAAGAAGAAGGCAAGAACCCAGAAGGCGCGGACGUCUCUGUCAACUCUCAAGGAAACAGAGUAUGCGCUCAUGCUCACCUGUAAGCUGGCGAAGCAUCACAGAUUGUGGAUCAGGGAAAUGAAAGAAAAGGACUCGGAGCUCAGGGAGAGAGUCAUCCAUAUGCUGGCCUUUAUAAGUAAGAGCACUCAGCGCGUGGGAGACUCACCCAUCAGGGCGCCGCCGCUGACAUGCCCUCCAACCCUGAAAGAGGAGACCGCGGACCAUGAACGGGCGCCAUAUGUUAACAGCAAGCACGGAUGGUUCACCCUUGCUGCUCUUGGAUCU